GAUGAACGCUAGCUACAGGCUUAACACAUGCAAGUCGAGGGGCAGCAUGGUCUUAGCUUGCUAAGGCCGAUGGCGACCGGCGCACGGGUGAGUAACACGUAUCCAACCUGCCGUCUACUCUUGGACAGCCUUCUGAAAGGAAGAUUAAUACAAGAUGGCAUCAUGAGUCCACAUGUUCACAUGAUUAAAGGUAUUCCGGUAGACGAUGGGGAUGCGUUCCAUUAGAUAGUAGGCGGGGUAACGGCCCACCUAGUCUUCGAUGGAUAGGGGUUCUGAGAGGAAGGUCCCCCACAUUGGAACUGAGACACGGUCCAAACUCCUACGGGAGGCAGCAGUGAGGAAUAUUGGUCAAUGGGCGAGAGCCUGAACCAGCCAAGUAGCGUGAAGGAUGACUGCCCUAUGGGUUGUAAACUUCUUUUAUAAAGGAAUAAAGUCGGGUAUGCAUACCCGUUUGCAUGUACUUUAUGAAUAAGGAUCGGCUAACUCCGUGCCAGCAGCCGCGGUAAUACGGAGGAUCCGAGCGUUAUCCGGAUUUAUUGGGUUUAAAGGGAGCGUAGAUGGAUGUUUAAGUCAGUUGUGAAAGUUUGCGGCUCAACCGUAAGAUUGCAGUUGAUACUGGAUAUCUUGAGUGCAGUUGAGGCAGGCGGAAUUCGUGGUGUAGCGGUGAAAUGCUUAGAUAUCACGAAGAACUCCGAUUGCGAAGGCAGCCUGCUAAGCUGCAACUGACAUUGAGGCUCGAAAGUGUGGGUAUCAAACAGGAUUAGAUACCCUGGUAGUCCACACGGUAAACGAUGAAUACUCGCUGUUUGCGAUAUACAGCAAGCGGCCAAGCGAAAGCGUUAAGUAUUCCACCUGGGGAGUACGCCGGCAACGGUGAAACUCAAAGGAAUUGACGGGGGCCCGCACAAGCGGAGGAACAUGUGGUUUAAUUCGAUGAUACGCGAGGAACCUUACCCGGGCUUAAAUUGCAGAUGAAUUACGGUGAAAGCCGUAAGCCGCAAGGCAUCUGUGAAGGUGCUGCAUGGUUGUCGUCAGCUCGUGCCGUGAGGUGUCGGCUUAAGUGCCAUAACGAGCGCAACCCUUGUUGUCAGUUACUAACAGGUCAUGCUGAGGACUCUGACAAGACUGCCAUCGUAAGAUGUGAGGAAGGUGGGGAUGACGUCAAAUCAGCACGGCCCUUACGUCCGGGGCUACACACGUGUUACAAUGGGGGGUACAGAGGGCCGCUACCACGCGAGUGGAUGCCAAUCCCCAAAACCUCUCUCAGUUCGGACUGGAGUCUGCAACCCGACUCCACGAAGCUGGAUUCGCUAGUAAUCGCGCAUCAGCCACGGCGCGGUGAAUACGUUCCCGGGCCUUGUACACACCGCCCGUCAAGCCAUGGGAGCCGGGGGUACCUGAAGUGCGUAACCGCGAGGAGCGCCCUAGGGUAAAACUGGUGACUGGGGCUAAG
rnacentral:rRNA from 1 species